GGUUACCGAAUUCAGACAAACUCCGAAUGCCAAUUAAUUUAACUUGGGAGUCAGAACAUGGGUGAUAAGGUCCGUGUUCGAAAGGGAAACAGCCCAGACCACCAGCUAAGGUCCCAAAAUAUAUGUUAAGUGGAAAAGGAUGUGGCGUUGCCCAGACAACUAGGAUGUUGGCUUAGAAGCAGCCAUCAUUUAAAGAGUGCGUAAUAGCUCACUAGUCGAGUGACACUGCGCCGAAAAUGUACCGGGGCUAAACAUAUUACCGAAGCUGUGGAUUGUCCUUUGGACAAUGGUAGGAGAGCGUUCUAAGGGCGUUGAAGCAUGAUCGUAAGGACAUGUGGAGCGCUUAGAAGUGAGAAUGCCGGUGUGAGUAGCGAAAGACGGGUGAGAAUCCCGUCCACCGAUUGACUAAGGUUUCCAGAGGAAGGCUCGUCCGCUCUGGGUUAGUCGGGUCCUAAGCUGAGGCCGACAGGCGUAGGCGAUGGAUAACAGGUUGAUAUUCCUGUACCACCUAUAAUCGUUUUAAUCGAUGGGGGGACGCAGUAGGAUAGGCGAAGCGUGCGAUUGGAUUGCACGUCUAAGCAGUAAGGCUGAGUAUUAGGCAAAUCCGGUACUCGUUAAGGCUGAGCUGUGAUGGGGAGAAGACAUUGAGUCUUCGAGUCGUUGAUUUCACACUGCCGAGAAAAGCCUCUAGAUAGAAAAUAGGUGCCCGUACCGCAAACCGACACAGGUAGUCAAGAUGAGAAUUCUAAGGUGAGCGAGCGAACUCUCGUUAAGGAACUCGGCAAAAUGACCCCGUAACUUCGGGAGAAGGGGUGCUCUUUAGGGUUAACGCCCAGAAGAGCCGCAGUGAAUAGGCCCAAGCGACUGUUUAUCAAAAACACAGGUCUCUGCUAAACCGUAAGGUGAUGUAUAGGGGCUGACGCCUGCCCGGUGCUGGAAGGUUAAGAGGAGUGGUUAGCUUCUGCGAAGCUACGAAUCGAAGCCCCAGUAAACGGCGGCCGUAACUAUAACGGUCCUAAGGUAGCGAAAUUCCUUGUCGGGUAAGUUCCGACCCGCACGAAAGGCGUAACGAUUUGGGCACUGUCUCAACGAGAGACUCGGUGAAAUCAUAGUACCUGUGAAGAUGCAGGUUACCCGCGACAGGACGGAAAGACCCCGUGGAGCUUUACUGUAGCCUGAUAUUGAAAUUCGGCACAGCUUGUACAGGAUAGGUAGGAGCCUUUGAAACGUGAGCGCUAGCUUACGUGGAGGCGCUGGUGGGAUACUACCCUAGCUGUGUUGGCUUUCUAACCCGCACCACUUAUCGUGGUGGGAGACAGUGUCA
rnacentral:rRNA from 1 species